GUAGGAGGGGUCGUCAACUCCGUAGUCGAACUGGGCAGCAGCAGUGUCGGUCUCGUAGUUAGGAGGAGGUCGGGGACGUGCUCGCAUAGGUUGAGGGGGCGCCGGAGGUGGGGAUCGACGACGACGGCCGUGGCGGCUGUGGUGGGGAUGGCGGCUCGAUGUGGCGCAUACAAGGCCCUUUGGCUUCGAUCCA